UAGGGCAUCUUCGGCAAUGGGGGCAACCCUGACCGAGCAACGCCGCGUGAGUGAAGAAGGUUUUCGGAUCGUAAAGCUCUGUUGUAAGAGAAGAACGUGUGUGAGAGUGGAAAGUUCACACAGUGACGGUAACUUACCAGAAAGGGACGGCUAACUACGUGCCAGCAGCCGCGGUAAUACGUAGGUCCCGAGCGUUGUCCGGAUUUAUUGGGCGUAAAGCGAGCGCAGGCGGUUUAAUAAGUCUGAAGUUAAAGGCAGUGGCUUAACCAUUGUUCGCUUUGGAAACUGUUAAACUUGAGUGCAGAAGGGGAGAGUGGAAUUCCAUGUGUAGCGGUGAAAUGCGUAGAUAUAUGGAGGAACACCGGUGGCGAAAGCGGCUCUCUGGUCUGUAACUGACGCUGAGGCUCGAAAGCGUGGGGAGCAAACAGG
rnacentral:rRNA from 1 species